rfam:Cricetulus griseus cell line CHO-K1, whole genome shotgun sequence.
GGGAAACUACUAUGGGGGCCUACCUCAGGCCCCGAGACAAAUCUAUGGGGCA